rnacentral:rRNA from 1 species
UGGCGGACGGGUGAGUAAUGUCUGGGAAACUGCCUGAUGGAGGGGGAUAACUACUGGAAACGGUAGCUAAUACCGCAUAACGUCGCAAGACCAAAGAGGGGGACCUUCGGGCCUCUUGCCAUCGGAUGUGCCCAGAUGGGAUUAGCUAGUAGGUGGGGUAACGGCUCACCUAGGCGACGAUCCCUAGCUGGUCUGAGAGGAUGACCAGCCACACUGGAACUGAGACACGGUCCAGACUCCUACGGGAGGCAGCAU